UAUCUAUCUAACAUGAACUUCUUUCUUCUUCUCCUCCAUUUUAACUUUAGCCUCUCUUUCUCUUCUCUUUGUUUUCUUCACUUAUACUCACAAAAUCCACCAAUUUGACACCAUUCAACUUGAUCUAAUAAUCAAUCUUUGAGAUUAAAGCUUGAGAAAUGAUAUUUGGUGAAUAAUUUCAAGUAAUUUGGAGGACAAAGGGUGGAGAAUUUCCUACCAAAGACAAGG